GACGAACGCUGGCGGCGUGCCUAAUACAUGCAAGUCGUACGCUUCUUUUUCCACCGGAGCUUGCUCCACCGGAAAAAGAAGAGUGGCGAACGGGUGAGUAACACGUGGGUAACCUGCCCAUCAGAAGGGGAUAACACUUGGAAACAGGUGCUAAUACCGUAUAACAAUCGAAACCGCAUGGUUUUGAUUUGAAAGGCGCUUUCGGGUGUCGCUGAUGGAUGGACCCGCGGUGCAUUAGCUAGUUGGUGAGGUAACGGCUCACCAAGGCCACGAUGCAUAGCCGACCUGAGAGGGUGAUCGGCCACAUUGGGACUGAGACACGGCCCAAACUCCUACGGGAGGCAGCAGUAGGGAAUCUUCGGCAAUGGACGAAAGUCUGACCGAGCAACGCCGCGUGAGUGAAGAAGGUUUUCGGAUCGUAAAACUCUGUUGUUAGAGAAGAAUAAGGAUGAGAGUAACUGUUCAUCCCUUGACGGUAUCUAACCAGAAAGCCACGGCUAACUACGUGCCAGCAGCCGCGGUAAUACGUAGGUGGCAAGCGUUGUCCGGAUUUAUUGGGCGUAAAGCGAGCGCAGGCGGUUUCUUAAGUCUGAUGUGAAAGCCCCCGGCUCAACCGGGGAGGGUCAUUGGAAACUGGGAGACUUGAGUGCAGAAGAGGAGAGUGGAAUUCCAUGUGUAGCGGUGAAAUGCGUAGAUAUAUGGAGGAACACCAGUGGCGAAGGCGGCUCUCUGGUCUGUAACUGACGCUGAGGCUCGAAAGCGUGGGGAGCAAACAGGAUUAGAUACCCUGGUAGUCCACGCCGUAAACGAUGAGUGCUAAGUGUUGGAGGGUUUCCGCCCUUCAGUGCUGCAGCUAACGCAUUAAGCACUCCGCCUGGGGAGUACGACCGCAAGGUUGAAACUCAAAGGAAUUGACGGGGGCCCGCACAAGCGGUGGAGCAUGUGGUUUAAUUCGAAGCAACGCGAAGAACCUUACCAGGUCUUGACAUCCUUUGACCACUCUAGAGAUAGAGCUUCCCCUUCGGGGGCAAAGUGACAGGUGGUGCAUGGUUGUCGUCAGCUCGUGUCGUGAGAUGUUGGGUUAAGUCCCGCAACGAGCGCAACCCUUAUUGUUAGUUGCCAUCAUUCAGUUGGGCACUCUAGCAAGACUGCCGGUGACAAACCGGAGGAAGGUGGGGAUGACGUCAAAUCAUCAUGCCCCUUAUGACCUGGGCUACACACGUGCUACAAUGGGAAGUACAACGAGUCGCGAAGUCGCGAGGCUAAGCUAAUCUCUUAAAGCUUCUCUCAGUUCGGAUUGUAGGCUGCAACUCGCCUACAUGAAGCCGGAAUCGCUAGUAAUCGCGGAUCAGCACGCCGCGGUGAAUACGUUCCCGGGCCUUGUACACACCGCCCGUCACACCACGAGAGUUUGUAACACCCGAAGUCGGUGAGGUAACCUUUUGGAGC
rnacentral:rRNA from 1 species